CAAGUGUUUAAAUAAACACUCCCUUUAGUUAAAAUGCCUAGCCAGGUAACUUCUUAAUUAUUGUAUCUAUUUAAUUAAGGAUUCCCCUUUAAGAAGGCUGAACUCCCAUGAGCCUUUGUUCUUUUUUAAACAGGUAGAGGGUGGAAGGGAGGCAGAUUUUGUGUUCUGGGUUCCUCCAUUUUGUGUAUGGUGGUGUGGUUUGUGUGCAGGUUCUGAAUGGGUUCCAGUUGGCUUUCAGGAUUUUAUUUACAAGAAAAUUAUAUUAAAUAAGAACUAUACCUACCUUGGAGCAUCUCUUGGACAACUUGUUGCUGUUGGACUGCCACUGGAACUACAGAAUAAGCAUCAACAAACAAACAAACAAACAGUCGGGUCUGUGAGGAUGAGAAGGUCUCCACAGUCUGGAGUCUGGUCUCUGACAGGCUCAACAUACCUGUCAAUCAACAGGGACUCCUCUACAAAGGCAAGGCGCUGGCAGGUAGGCUGAACAGCACAGCACAGCACAGCACAGCACAGAUCACCCCUCAUCUCGCCCCUCACCUCACCCCUCCUCUCACGCCUCGCCUCACCCCGGGUCAGUGUGGCACAGCCUGCCUGCUCUUCUGAACAAACACUUCAGUGUCUGGAGCAGCUACACAAGGUGAUGAAGUGACACUUUUGAAUAUGGGGCCUGAUGAGAGAAGUAUCCUUUUCAUGUGGUUUUGGUUUUGCCGUUGUGAGCAGGUGUGGGAGACAGCACCGUGUCUUCAUGUGAAAUAACAAAGUCAUCGCAGUGGAGGGACUCUCUGAAGGCUGCUGUUUGUGGAUUUGUCUUUUAAUGUGAGUGAUCUACUGUACUGUGAUGCCACUGACUGUACGCACGCUGCACUGUAGGGGAGACACCGCUGGCAUUCACAGUGUAUGCUUGUUCGUUUAAAGCACGCUGCACUG